rnacentral:tRNA from 1 species
GCUAGCGUAGCUUAAAUAAAGCAUGACACUGAAGAUGUUAAGAUAGACCCUCAAAAGUCUCGCGGGCA